AUGUAGUGAUGGAGAUACUUUCUCAACAAUUCUUUAAACAUCUCCCAUGCGUCAUAUAAUGAUUCCCCAUCAGUCUGGAAGAAGUUAUUAAUUUCUCCUCGAAACCU